GAAACACAGAGAGUCAACAUGUAACGCCAUGGGGUAGGAGCCCGGAACUAUUCUCCGACUUCAAAAAAUGUUUCCAUCGCCAAAGCGAAAACAUAACUCUCAUCCCUAAAGGGAUAAGAAAUAAUGCAUUCUACAGCCCAAUAUGAGUGACCACAGUCCUGGAACAGAGAUUCCGGUUGUCUCAAAUACCACAUGGUGAUGAAACGAGAGAACCAAUCCAGCAAGUUUUCCUGUGACAUCCACAUGUGUGCUGCUCUCUCUCC